rnacentral:tRNA from 1 species
ACCGAAAUAGCUCAGUUGGGAGAGCGUUAGACUAUAGAUCGAAAAGUCCCUGGUUCGAUCCUAGGUUUCGGCA